GGUUAAGCGACUAAGCGUACACGGUGGAUGCCCUGGCAGUCAGAGGCGAUGAAGGACGUGCUAAUCUGCGAAAAGCGUCGGUAAGGUGAUAUGAACCGUUACAGCCGGCGAUGUCCGAAUGGGGAAACCCAGUGCAAUUCGUUGCACUAUCGUUAACUGAAUACAUAGGUUAACGAGGCGAACCGGGGGAACUGAAACAUCUAAGUACCCCGAGGAAAAGAAAUCAACCGAGAUUCCCCCAGUAGCGGCGAGCGAACGGGGAGCAGCCCAGAGUCUGAAUCAGCUUGUGUGUUAGUGGAACGGUCUGGAAAGUCCGACGGUACAGGGUGAUAGUCCCGUACACCAAAAUGCACAGGCUGUGAACUCGAAGAGUAGGGCGGGACACGUGGUAUCCUGUCUGAAUAUGGGGGGACCAUCCUCCAAGGCUAAAUACUCCUGACUGACCGAUAGUGAACCAGUACCGUGAGGGAAAGGCGAAAAGAACCCCGGCGAGGGGAGUGAAAAAGAACCUGAAACCGUGUACGUACAAGCAGUGGGAGCACCUUUAUGGUGUGACUGCGUACCUUUUGUAUAAUGGGUCAGCGACUUAUAUUCUGUAGCAAGGUUAACCGUAUAGGGGAGCCGCAGGGAAACCGAGUCUUAACUGGGCGUUAAGUUGCAGGGUAUAGACCCGAAACCCGGUGAUCUAGCCAUGGGCAGGUUGAAGGUUGGGUAACACUAACUGGAGGACCGAACCGACUAAUGUUGAAAAAUUAGCGGAUGACUUGUGGCUGGGGGUGAAAGGCCAAUCAAACCGGGAGAUAGCUGGUUCUCCCCGAAAGCUAUUUAGGUAGCGCCUCGUGAAUUCAUCUUCGGGGGUAGAGCACUGUUUCGGCUAGGGGGUCAUCCCGACUUACCAACCCGAUGCAAACUACGAAUACCGAAGAAUGUUAUCACGGGAGACACACGGCGGGUGCUAACGUCCGUCGUGAAGAGGGAAACAACCCAGACCGCCAGCUAAGGUCCCAAAGUCACAGUUAAGUGGGAAACGAUGUGGGAAGGCACAGACAGCCAGGAUGUUGGCUUAGAAGCAGCCAUCAUUUAAAGAAAGCGUAAUAGCUCACUGGUCGAGUCGGCCUGCGCGGAAGAUGUAACGGGGCUAAACUGUGCACCGAAGCUGCGGCAGCGACACUAUGUGUUGUUGGGUAGGGGAGCGUUCUGUAAGCCUGCGAAGGUGGCCUGUGAGGGUUGCUGGAGGUAUCAGAAGUGCGAAUGCUGACAUAAGUAACGAUAAUGCGGGUGAAAAGCCCGCACGCCGGAAGACCAAGGGUUCCUGUCCAACGUUAAUCGGGGCAGGGUGAGUCGACCCCUAAGGCGAGGCCGAAAGGCGUAGUCGAUGGGAAACAGGUUAAUAUUCCUGUACUUGGUGUUACUGCGAAGGGGGGACGGAGAAGGCUAUGUUAGCCGGGCGACGGUUGUCCCGGUUUAAGCAUGUAGGCGGAGGUUCCAGGUAAAUCCGGUACCUUUUAACGCUGAGGUGUGAUGACGAGGCACUACGGUGCUGAAGUAACAAAUGCCCUGCUUCCAGGAAAAGCCUCUAAGCAUCAGGUAACAUUGAAUCGUACCCCAAACCGACACAGGUGGUCAGGUAGAGAAUACCAAGGCGCUUGAGAGAACUCGGGUGAAGGAACUAGGCAAAAUGGUGCCGUAACUUCGGGAGAAGGCACGCUGAUAUGUAGGUGAAGCCCCUGCGGGUGGAGCUGAAAUCAGUCGAAGAUACCAGCUGGCUGCAACUGUUUAUUAAAAACACAGCACUGUGCAAACACGAAAGUGGACGUAUACGGUGUGACGCCUGCCCGGUGCCGGAAGGUUAAUUGAUGGGGUUAUCCGUAAGGAGAAGCUCUUGAUCGAAGCCCCGGUAAACGGCGGCCGUAACUAUAACGGUCCUAAGGUAGCGAAAUUCCUUGUCGGGUAAGUUCCGACCUGCACGAAUGGCGUAAUGAUGGCCAGGCUGUCUCCACCCGAGACUCAGUGAAAUUGAACUCGCUGUGAAGAUGCAGUGUACCCGCGGCAAGACGGAAAGACCCCGUGAACCUUUACUAUAGCUUGACACUGAACAUUGAGCCUUGAUGUGUAGGAUAGGUGGGAGGCUUUGAAGCGUGGACGCCAGUCUGCGUGGAGCCAACCUUGAAAUACCACCCUUUAAUGUUUGAUGUUCUAACGUUGGCCCCUAAUCGGGGUUGCGGACAGUGUCUGGUGGGUAGUUUGACUGGGGCGGUCUCCUCCCAAAGAGUAACGGAGGAGCACGAAGGUUAGCUAAUCCUGGUCGGACAUCAGGAGGUUAGUGCAAUGGCAUAAGCUAGCUUGACUGCGAGCGUGACGGCGCGAGCAGGUGCGAAAGCAGGUCAUAGUGAUCCGGUGGUUCUGAAUGGAAGGGCCAUCGCUCAACGGAUAAAAGGUACUCCGGGGAUAACAGGCUGAUACCGCCCAAGAGUUCAUAUCGACGGCGGUGUUUGGCACCUCGAUGUCGGCUCAUCACAUCCUGGGGCUGAAGUAGGUCCCAAGGGUAUGGCUGUUCGCCAUUUAAAGUGGUACGCGAGCUGGGUUUAGAACGUCGUGAGACAGUUCGGUCCCUAUCUGCCGUGGGCGCUGGAGAAUUGAGGGGGGCUGCUCCUAGUACGAGAGGACCGGAGUGGACGCAUCACUGGUGUUCGGGUUGUCAUGCCAAUGGCAUUGCCCGGUAGCUAAAUGCGGAAGAGAUAAGUGCUGAAAGCAUCUAAGCACGAAACUUGCCCCGAGAUGAGUUCUCCCUGAGACUUUAAGUCUCCUGAAGGAACGUUAAAGACGAUGACGUUGAUAGGUCGGGUGUGUAAGCGUAGCGAUACGUUGAGCUAACCGAUACUAAUGAACCGUGAGGCUUAACCUUAC
rnacentral:rRNA from 1 species